GAUGAACGCUGGCGGCGUGCCUAAUACAUGCAAGUCGAGCGAACAGAUGAGGAGCUUGCUCCUCUGACGUUAGCGGCGGACGGGUGAGUAACACGUGGAUAACCCACCUAUAAGACUGGGAUAACUUCGGGAAACCGGCGCUAAUACCGGAUAAUAUAUUGAACCGCAUGGUUCAAUAGUGAAAGACGGUUUUGCUGUCACUUAUAGAUGGAUCCGCGCCGCAUUAGCUAGUUGGUAAGGUAACGGGCUACCAAGGCAACGAUGCGUAGCCGACCGGAGAGGGGGGUCGGCGACACGGGAGCUGAAACGCGGUCAUGACGCCUGCGGGAGGCCGCAGACGGGAAUCGGACGCAGCGGGCGAGAGCCUGACGCAGCGACCGCGCGUGAGUGAUGAAGGCCUUCGGAGCGGAAAGCUCUGUUAUGAGGGAAGAACAAAUGUGUAAGGAACUAUGCAGGUAUUGACGGUACCUGAUCAGAAAGCAACGGCUAACUACGUG
rnacentral:rRNA from 1 species